rnacentral:rRNA from 1 species
AUUGAACGCUGGCGGCAUGCUUUACACAUGCAAGUCGAACGGUAACAGGCCUUCGGGUGCUGACGAGUGGCGAACGGGUGAGUAAUGCAUCGGAACGUGCCCAAUCGUGGGGGGAUAACGUGGCGAAAGUUACGCUAAUACCGCAUAAGCCCUGAGGGGGAAAGUGGGGGACCGCAAGGCCUCACGCGAAUGGAGCGGCCGAUGUCAGAUUAGCUAGUUGGUGGGGUAAAGGCCCACCAAGGCGACGAUCUGUAGCGGGUCUGAGAGGAUGAUCCGCCACACUGGGACUGAGACACGGCCCAGACUCCUACGGGAGGCAGCAGUGGGGAAUUUUGGACAAUGGGGGCAACCCUGAUCCAGCCAUGCCGCGUGAGUGAAGAAGGCCUGGUUGUAAG